AUGGUGAUAUGCUUGAGAAAGCUCAUACAUCUUUAUCUUUUUGGAUGUCAGUGGUUGGAGAGGAUGCCUCGAAACAUUGGUCAGCUGAACAACCUUCGCACACUAACAACAUUUGUUGUGGACACUACAGAUGGUUGUGGAAUUGAGGAGCUCAAAGACUUGCAACACCUUCACAACAGGUUGGAACUGCAUAACUUGAGAGACAUAAAGAGUGUAAAGCAUGCAAAAGAAGCCAAUCUCCAGCAGAAACAAUAUCUGAGUGAGCUUUUGUUCUCUUGGGGCCUUACAAUAUAUGGCGAGCCCGAAAAUGAAGGAUGCAAUGAAGAGGAAAUGUUCCAGUAUCUGGAACCACAUAUUAAGAUCCAAAUUUUGGAGUUAUAUGGAUAUGGUGGCGUGGAAGUACCACAAUGGAUGAGAGAUCCGCAGAUGUUUCAGUGCUUAAGAAAACUCACAAUUUUCAACUUGACAAGGUGUAAGAAUUUGCCUGUAGUAUGGUUGUCCCCCACACUGGAGUACUUGUCCUUAAAGAUCAUUGAUAAACUGAAGACAUUAUGUGAUAACCCUUACAUAGAAGUUGGAGGACACAAUACCCCUCUAAAGAUUUUCCCUAAUUUGAAGAAGAUGAUCUUGAAAGGGCUACUUAGUCUAGAGGGGUGGAUAGAAAACAAUGCGGGAGUGGCUAUUGAUAGCUUAGUAACAUUCCCGGUGCUUGAGGAGCUAGAAAUCGAGGACUGCCCCAAGCUAUCAAGUUUUCCACUAAGCCCUGUUCUGAAAGUCCUGAAGAUAAAUGAAUUUGACAUUGUUGGAUUACGCUCACGCCGGGAGGGGAAGGACGAGACCCCACAGAUAGUGUGUUUACUGGAUAUUCCGAGGUUGCCUACAUCCCUUGAAAUUUUGUGGAUUCAGGACUCUCCAUGUUUGGUGGCGCUGCCUUCAAACCUUGGAGAUCUGACAAAGUUGUGGGAGCUACUGGUGCAUGACUGCAAGAGUCUGAAAGCGUUGCCUGAUGGGAUGGAUCGUCUCACUUCUCUUCGGUCAUUGACAAUCAUGAAUUCUCCAGCAAUAGAGCAACUCCCGAAUGGUCUCCUUGAGCGGUUGCCAACACUCGACUACCUAUUCAUAUGGGGCUGCCCCGAGUUGGAAUUACGAUGCAGAGAAGGUGGGGAGUAUUUCCAUCACCUGCUCCCUAUCCCACAUAAAUACAUUGCAACAGAAUCAGAACUGCAAUUCAGAAUGAGAGCACCAGAAGCAGAAUCCAGUGGAAAGAACUUUUUAAGGAGGCUCCUCCCCUGUUGUGUUCGCUCGAAGUCUGACUCUGAGUCUAACAAUAACCAAGGAUCUGCUGACUCUGAAACCUUUUGA
rnacentral:rRNA from 1 species